rnacentral:tRNA from 2 species
GGCUAGGUGGCCGAGUGGUUAAGGCGUAUGUUUCAAGAGAGAUUCUUCUCUUCCCCACCAGGGAAAACACAUAUCUCGAAAGAGUCAUCAGUUCGAAUCUGGUCCUAGUCA